rnacentral:rRNA from 1 species
UACGGAGGGUGCAAGCGUUGCUCGGAAUUAUUGGGCGUAAAGGGCAGGUAGGUGGUCUCGUUUGUCUGAGGUGAAAGCCUUGAGCUUAACUCAAGAAGUGCCUUAGAAACGGCGAGACUAGAGUUCUGGAGAGGGUCGUGGAAUUCCCGGUGUAGCGGUGAAAUGCGUAGAGAUCGGGAGGAACACCAGAGGCGAAGGCGGCGACCUGGACAGAUACUGACACUCAAUGCGAAAGCAUGGGGAGCAAACAGG